rnacentral:rRNA from 1 species
UACGGAGGGGACUAGCGUUGUUCGGAAUUACUGGGCGUAAAGCGCACGUAGGCGGAUUUGUAAGUCAGGGGUGAAAUCCCGGGGCUCAACCUCGGAACUGCCUUUGAUACUGCAAAUCUCGAGUCCGGAAGAGGUGAGUGGAAUUCCUGGUGUAGCGGUGAAAUGCGCAGAUAUCAGGAGGAACACCCGUGGCGAAAGCGGCUCUCUGGGACGGUACUGACGCUGAGACGCGAAAGCGUGGGGAGCAAACAGG